AUGGAGCUCGGCGGCGGCGGUGCUGCAAUGGAGCGCUCGCCGGUGGCUCCUGGUGGUGCAUUGCAGUGCUCGCUGGUGGGCUGUCGAGCUGCAGUGCAGCGCUCAGUGCUCCAACGGAGCUCGCCGGCGUUCUCAGUGCAGCACAAAGCGGUGUCGCGGCCCCGUGGAGCUCGCCGGCUGCGGUGCUGCAAUGGAGCUCUCACCGCUGCCUCCCGAUGUUGUGUUGCCGCCGGCGUCUGUCGAAGCUGCAGCGCUUGCUGCGCCAAUGGAUCUCGCCGGCCGGCGCUCUCGAAGCUGAAGUGCAGCGCUCGGUGCUCCAAUGGAGCUCUCGCUGGCGGCUCCCAUUGCGACGUUGCAGCGCUCGUCGGCAAGCUCGAAGCUGCAGUGCAGCAGCUCGGUGCCCCAAUGGAGCCCUCGCGGGGGUCUCCUGGUGCUCCAAUGGAGCCACCCCGACAGCUCUUGGAGCUGCGAUGCAGCGGCUGA
rnacentral:rRNA from 1 species